CAAAAGUUGGGUUGUGCAACUGAGCUAACGAUCGGAUCUUGGUUCACAGAGGUCCCAUGCAUGUUGCAGUUCAAUGGAUUGCUGGUUCCAGAGUUGAAAUGCAAAUAUCUAAUACUAGAAUUGUGUAUAGAAAACUUUGAUUUGAAUGGAGUAGCUGGACUUUUGGGAGCCUUGCCUCAUGUGGAGACUUUAAACAUAUACCUGACAGAAAAUCUUCUUUAUAAUUACUUUUGCGACUUUGAGGAAAACAAUACUGAUCUGCAGAGUUGGAUUUCAAGCAUUGUGUUUCCCAACCUCAAGA